AUUUGUUGUUAAUGCUAAAGUACUUGAAUAUAACACUACACAUACAAAGGUCAGCAUCCAGCAUUGACACCAACAUAAUCAGAAAUUCUUCACCAGCUAAUAAAGAGAAAUUUCUUGGAUUGACAAAUAUGUUAAUGUGAUCACUUCACACAUUCACAUUUUGAAUAAUUUUAGAUUUAAAAGCAAAGCCACAGGUCUUUACAAAAUCAAAUAUCAUUAAUUGUUAAUUUACUCCAUUUGGAAAUCAUCCAAAUAUGGUAUCUAACUGCUUAUCUAAACUUACAUUGCAUUGUAUUCCAAGGUCAACCAAACAAAACCUCUAGAAGAACAUGACAAUGAAGAGAACAGUAAUGAUAACAUAAAAGUCUAGAAGCAUAACUUCCACUUGAUAGUAUGCAUACAAAAUUUCACAUAACUUGCAAUUUUAGGACUCCAUCAUCCCUCAAUAUUUCAUCAAACAUAUCUUAAAUAUUCAGGAUAUCAGGCCUUUUCAAUA
rnacentral:misc_RNA from 1 species